GUACGGCGAGUGAGCGGCAAAAGCUCAAAUUUGAAAUCCCCCCGGGGAGUUGUAAUUUGAAGAUUGCGUCUUGGAGGCGACCGUGUCUAUGUUCCUUGGAACAGGACGUCACAGAGGGUGAGAAUCCCGUGCGGCACGGCCCCCGGCUCCUUAUAAGGCGCUCUCGACGAGUCGAGUUGUUUGGGAAUGCAGCUCAAAGUGGGUGGUAAAUUCCAUCUAAAGCUAAAUACAGGCGAGAGACCGAUAGCGAACAAGUACAGUGAUGGAAAGAUGAAAAGCACUUUGAAAAGAGAGUGAAACAGCACGUGAAAUUGUUGAAAGGGAAGGGCAUGCCGUCAGAUUGUCAGUGUGGGUAAGAAGCGGGGUACAAAGACUGUGGAACGUGGCCCUCGGGUGUUAUAGCCGCAGUUCAUGCCCCGUCUCUUUCCGAGGCCUGCUUUGAGGACACCGACGUAAUGACGGUACGCCGCCCGUCUUGA
rnacentral:rRNA from 1 species